CAGUCGCCGCGGGAAUACGUAGGUGGCAAGCGUUAAUAGGGAUUACUGGGCGUAAAGCGUGCGCAGGCGGUUAGAUAAGCCAGAUGUGAAAUCCCCGAGCUCAACUUGGGAACUGCGUUUGGAACUGUUUAACUGGAGUGCGUCAGAGGGGGGUGGAAUUCCGCGUGUAGCAGUGAAAUGCGUAGAGAUGCGGAGGAACACCGAUGGCGAAGGCAGCCCCCUGGGAUAACACUGACGCUCAUGCACGAAAGCGUGGGGAGCAAACAGGAUUAGAUACCCCCGUAGUCCCUGUCUCUUAUAC
rnacentral:rRNA from 1 species